UCGGAUGUGAAAUCCCCGGGCUCAACCUGGGAACUGCAUUCGAAACUGGCAGGCUUGAGUCUUGUAGAGGGGGGUAGAAUUCCAGGUGUAGCGGUGAAAUGCGUAGAGAUCUGGAGGAAUACCGGUGGCGAAGGCGGCCCCCUGGACAAAGACUGACGCUCAGGUGCGAAAGCGUGGGGAGCAAACAGGAUUAGAUACCCUGGUAGUCCACGCCGUAAACGAUGUCUACUUGGAGGUUGUGCCCUUGAGGCGUGGCUUCCGGAGCUAACGCGUUAAGUAGACCGCCUGGGGAGUACGGCCGCAAGGUUAAAACUCAAAUGAAUUGACGGGGGCCCGCACAAGCGGUGGAGCAUGUGGUUUAAUUCGAUGCAACGCGAAGAACCUUACCUGGUCUUGACAUCCACAGAAGAAUCCAGAGAUGGAUUUGUGCCU
rnacentral:rRNA from 2 species